GACGAACGCUGGCGGCGUGCUUAACACAUGCCAGUCGAACGGAAAGGCCCUGCUUUUGUGGGGUGCUCGAGUGGCGAACGGGUGAGUAACACGUGAGUAACCUGCCCUUGACUUUGGGAUAACUUCAGGAAACUGGGGCUAAUACCGGAUAGGAGCUCCUGCUGCAUGGUGGGGGUUGGAAAGUUUCGGCGGUUGGGGAUGGACUCGCGGCUUAUCAGCUUGUUGGUGGGGUUGUGGCUUACCAAGGCUUUGACGGGUAGCCGGCCUGAGAGGGUGACCGGCCACAUUGGGACUGAGAUACGGCCCAGACUCCUACGGGAGGCAGCAGUGGGGAAUAUUGAACAAUGGGCGGAAGCCUGAUGCAGCAACGCCGCGUGCGGGAUGACGGCCUUCGGGUUGUAAACCGCUUUCGCCUGUGACGAAGCGUGAGUGACGGUAAUGGGUAAAGAAGCACCGGCUAACUACGUG
rnacentral:rRNA from 1 species